rnacentral:sRNA from 1 species
UGUAGGGGCCUCCACCUCCCACGCCGCCACCCACAGGCCCCCGAUGGGGAGACCCAGCCCAUGACGGAGGUGGACCUGUUCGUCUCCACCAAGAGGAUCAAGGUCUUGACAGCGGACUCCCAGGAGGCCAUGAUGGACCACGCCCUGCAUACCAUCUCCUACAUAGCCGACAUCGGCCGCGUGCUGGUGCUGAUGGCGCGGCGGCGGCUGGCGCGGAGGCCGGCACCCCAGGACCACGGCCGCCGCCUCUACAAGAUGCUCUGCCAUGUGUUCUACGCGGAGGACGCCCAGCUCAUUGCCCAGGCCAUCGGCCAGGCCUUCGCUGCCGCCUACAGCCAGUUCCUACGGGAAAGCGGUAUUGACCCCAGCCAGGUGGGCGCGCACCCGAGCCCAGGCGCCGGCCACCUCCACAACGGGGACCUGGACCACUUCUCCAACAGUGACAACUGCCGAGAGGUGCACCUCGAGAAGCAGCGAGGGGAGGGCCUGGGCGUGGCCCUGGUGGAGUCGGGCUGGGGCUCCCUGCUGCCCACAGCCGUCAUCGCCAACCUGCUGCAUGGGGGGCCUGCCGAGCGCU